rnacentral:rRNA from 1 species
GGGUCAGUAGGUUGGUCGUGCCACCGGUACGUACUGGUCUCACUGAUUCCUCCUUCCUGAAGAACCGUAAUGCCAUUAAUUUGGUGUUGCGGGGAAACAGGACUGUUACUUUGAAAAAUUAGAGUGUUUAAAGCAAGCUAACGCUUGAAUACAUUAGCAUGGAAUAAUGAAAUAGGACGAUCAAUCCUAUUUUGUUGGUUUCUAGGAUUGACGUA